rnacentral:lncRNA from 1 species
AGCAAUGAUUUUUCUUCUCAACAUAUAUAACCACGAUGCAUGUCGUAAUUACCGUGUGUACUACAUAUCCACUACUAUAAUAAUCUUUAUAGAGGCGAGCAAAGCAACUACCUCCAUUCAAAGGCCUCUGUUAAUGUGCAGACUAUGCCCACCUCCGUUAAUCAAAUAGAAAAAAUAAUAAAAAAACUGUUGAUGAGCCCAUCG